rnacentral:rRNA from 1 species
AUUCCUACGGGACGCAGCAGUGGGGAAUAUUGGGCAAUGGGCGCAAGCCUGACCCAGCAACGCCGCGUGAAGGAAGAAGGCUUUCGGGUUGUAAACUUCUUUUAUCAGGGACGAAGCAAGUGACGGUACCUGAUGAAUAAGCCACGGCUAACUACGUGCCAGCAGCCGCGGUAAUACGUAGGUGGCAAGCGUUAUCCGGAUUUACUGGGUGUAAAGAGCGCGUAGGCGGGAUAGCAAGUCAGAUGUGAAAUCCUAU